rfam:Barnesiella viscericola DSM 18177, complete genome.
GACUCCGUAGCUCAGUUGGUAGAGCAAAUGACUCUUAAUCAUUGGGUCGAGGGUUCGAGCCCCUCCGGGGUCA